UGCAUAUCAAUAAGCGGAGGAAAAGAAACUAACCAGGAUUCCCCUAGUAACGGCGAGUGAAGCGGGAAGAGCUCAAAUUUGUAAUCUGGCGGUCUCUGGCCGUCCGAGUUGUAAUCUGGAGAAGUGUUUUCCGUGCCGGACCGUGUACAAGUCCCUUGGAACAGGGCGUCAUAGAGGGUGAGAAUCCCGUCUUUGACACGGACUGCCGGUGCUCUGUGAUGCGCUCUCGAAGAGUCGAGUUGUUUGGGAAUGCAGCUCAAAACGGGUGGUAAAUUCCAUCUAAAGCUAAAUAUUGGCGAAAGACCGAUAGCGAACAAGUACCGUGAGGGAAAGAUGAAAAGCACUUUGGAAAGAGAGUUAAACAGUACGUGAAAUUGUUGAAAGGGAAACGCUUGAAGUCAGUCGCGUCUCUCGGGACUCAGCCUUGCUUUUGCAUGGCGCACUUCCCGGGAUGACGGGCCAGCAUCGAUUUCAAUCGCUGGAGAAAGGUCGGGGGAAUGUGGCACCCUCUCGGGUGUGUUAUAACCCUCGGUCGUAUACAGCGAUGGGGAUCGAGGAUCGCAGCACGCCUGUAAUGGAACGGGGUUCGCCCACGCAACGUGCUUAGGAUGCUGGCGUAAUGGCUUUAAGCGACCCGUCUUGAAACACGGACCA
rnacentral:rRNA from 1 species